GCCUCGUUGGCGCAGUUAGGCAGCGCGUCAGUCUCAUAAUCUGAAGGUUGUGAGUUCGAGCCUCACACGGGGCA